AAUCCAAGUCGACGCAAAACGAGGGUUUUGUUAGGAUCGGGUCGGUAAAAGUGGUGGGUUUGGGUCUUGAUUACUCUCCGUAGAAGUGAGGCAAAAGGAGGGGGGAGAUGAGGAAUGAGGGAGAGAGCAGAGAGGGGAGGGAGGGAGACUGGGAGAGAAAGAGCGAGAGAGGAUGGGUGGGAGAAUAUUGAACCAAGCGUUGAGGAAGAUGGUGAAUGCUGAGAAGAGGGGUUUUGCAAAUACCCUUCUGUUCUUCCCUCAACUUCGUCACUUUUCAUUCCUCACUCUUUGCUCUUUGAAUUCAUAAACGGGGACUCGCAUCACACACACGUUACCAUCAAAGAAACGUAUAGUUCACCUGUUAAUGGGGACUCUGAAGAUGUUCGUUGUGUUGGUGCCAAAAUAAAGCAAUUCAUAAAAGCACUUUUGAGUUAAAUUGAUGAAAUUAUUCAAUUGUCACCUGCGGCUCUGUGAAUUAUAUGAAAAUGAUUGCAGCUCUGAUAAAUUUGAUUGUUGUUUAUGUGGUUAUAGUCGGCGGGUGGCAAGUGGUAACUAAUUAUUACAGGUUCUAAAGUUACUCUUAUUGCUGCUGCUUCUUUUUUUUUCUGUUCCAACUUGCAUGUAAUAUCAAUGUAUAUGUUCUCAGAUAUUUUAUUUUCCCUGCUGAGGGCAGUACAGAAUCAGCCACACUGGAUGCUAGCAAAAAUUAAAUGAGCAGGCGACAAGUCAAAUUCCCUCGAGGCCUUCUAGAUCCUUGGGCUGCAGUAUAUUUUGUGUUGUCAGGAGAGGUCGAUGCAAUUUCAUACUCUCAUUUAAAUUCAUAUACUUGCUUUUGAGUGAUAAUGAAUUGUGUUUCCCAGUUGAUACUUACGAAAAGAAACUACUAUAUGUUUCCAAAAGUUAUACUUUUGCACAUUUAACUUAUCUUGAUAUGUAAUGAUGGGUGCGAAAAACUAGGCUUAUUUUAGACGAAAUUACUCCACCUGGCAUGGAGUUCUAUUGCCUGUGCUGUUGCAGACAGCUUGUGCUUGUAUUGUGCAUUAAUAUGAAUCUUGACAAUAAUAUAUUGCCUCAAUAAAUAUACUGGACUGCUGAUGGAGAAGACCUUUUCCAAACAUCUGAAGGUUUGCUUUAUGCAGACUAGUAUAUGUUGAAUCCACCUCUUUCGUGUUGAAGGUUUAGAUGCUUCCCUGUCAUUAAAUCUGAAAGGAUUUGUAGCAGUAGUCUGUUUUUCUUUCUGUUUAUUUCGUUAGCAGUAUGUCCUCUGUUUUGUUAUCUUUGUACCUCUUGAAUCCGAGGAGAAAGUUAGUUGCUCAUUACUGCCUUUAAAUUUAGGUCUAAUGUUGUUUAACAAUAGUGUUGAUGAGAA